UGUGCUCCACCACCAUCACGGUUAAGCACCCUCAACGAGGAAUUGGAUAUGAUUCUUGCGACUCUGCCUAAUAAGAAUGUUUAUCUUUCAUAUUGAUUAUGUUUAUUUACACAUGUGACAUGUCUGUAGUUAGCUUGAAUGUUAAUUAUCUUUGAAUGUCAAUUUUGUUAUAUCACGCUUGAAUGUUAAUUAUGUUAGAAUUAAUAAAUGAAGAGCACAGACAAUGCUGCGAAAUGGCCAGAAUCAUGUUAAAGGUCGUGGUUCCACCAAAUACUAUUUUAAACACAGUUAACGCCAAGGACCAGAUUUACGGUGAAGUUAGUAUGUCAUUUGUUGUGAGGUGCAAAGACGUACUUGAUCGCUUAUGGCAUUUCAUUGACAAUGAUGGAAAUUUCCAUACCAUUGUCUACAACCAAGAUUUGGACAAAUCAGUCAUUGUGGCAUGGUGAACAACACUAAGAGAUUUUUAUCACCUGACCGGAGAUCAUCAAGUGUCGUUAACUUAUUAUGGACGUUCCAAGUACCAUGUAUUAUUUUCUUAAAGACAAAGGCUGGACUCAUUUGCAUUUGGAGGACAUUGCAGAAUAUCGGCUCGUUUUCAAUCACUAGAGAAAGACACUUAAAAUUGGAGCUAGAUGAUAAUAUUUUUGUGAAACCCUAUCCUUGAAAGCUGACAUGAAAAUUAUCUUUGAAUUCAUUGAUCCGACCGUUAAUCAUGUGUUAUUUUGGUCAUGUUUAUGAACAUUAUUUUAACUUGGAACAUUGAACAUUUUAAUUAUUAGGAACAUUAUUAUGACUUAUGAA